GAUGAAGAACGUAGCGAAAUGCGAUAAGUAAUGUGAAUUGCAGAAUUCAGUGAAUCAUCGAAUCUUUGAACGCACAUUGCGCCCGCCAGUAUUCUGGCGGGCAUGCCUGUUCGAGCGUCAUUACAACCCUCAGGCCCCCGGGCCUGGCGUUGGGGAUCGGCGGAGCCCCCCGUGGGCACACGCCGUCCCCCAAAUGCAGUGGCGGUCCCGCCGCAGCUUCCAUCGCGUAGUAGCUAACACCUCGCGACUGGAGAGCGGCGCGGCCACGCCGUAAAACACACAACUCUUCUGAAGUUGACCUCGAGUCAGGUAGGAAUACCCGCUGAACUUAAGCAUAUCAAUAAGCGGAGGA
rnacentral:misc_RNA from 1 species